GAUGAAGAACGUAGCGAAAUGCGAUAAGUAAUGUGAAUUGCAGAAUUCAGUGAAUCAUCGAAUCUUUGAACGCACAUUGCGCCCGCCAGUAUUCUGGCGGGCAUGCCUGUCUGAGCGUCAUUUCAACCCUCAGCCCCCGCUCGCGGGGCGCUGGCGUUGGGGAUCGGCCGUCCUCGCGGCGGCCGGCCCCGAAACACAGUGGCGGUCUCUCGCGGACUCCCCUGCGUAGUAGCACUACCUCGCAAAAGGGACGAGCGGGCUGACCACGCCGUAAAACCCCCCACUUCUCCAGGUUGACCUCAGAUCAGGUAGGAAUACCCGCUGAACUUAAGCAUAUCAAUAAGCGGAGGA
rnacentral:misc_RNA from 1 species